rnacentral:rRNA from 1 species
ACUCCUGCGGGAGGCAGCAGUGGGGAAUUUUGGACAAUGGGCGAAAGCCUGAUCCAGCCAUGCCGCGUGCAGGAUGAAGGCCUUCGGGUUGUAAACUGCUUUUGUACGGAACGAAACGGCCUUUUCUAAUAAAGAGGGCUAAUGACGGUACCGUAAGAAUAAGCACCGGCUAACUACGUGCCAGCAGCCGCGGUAAUACGUAGGGUGCAAGCGUUAAUCGGAAUUACUGGGCGUAAAGCGUGCGCAGGCGGUUAUGUAAGACAGUUGUGAAAUCCCCGGGCUCAACCUGGGAACUGCAUCUGUGACUGCAUAGCUAGAGUACGGUAGAGGGGGAUGGAAUUCCGCGUGUAGCAGUGAAAUGCGUAGAUAUGCGGAGGAACACCGAUGGCGAAGGCAAUCCCCUGGACCUGUACUGACGCUCAUGCACGAAAGCGUGGGGAGCAAACAGGAUUAGAAACCCCGGUAGUCCCA